ncrna:Ralstonia solanacearum TW551 C4 antisense RNA
GUGCAUCGCGGGCCGGGCGGGGCAGCCUUCGGGCUGGCCGGUUUCUACGUUGCCGGUUUUCGACCCCCGCUGUCUGGCCCGCCACCCCU